rnacentral:rRNA from 1 species
GAUCCUGGCUCAGAACGAACGCUGGCGGCAGGCCUAACACAUGCAAGUCGAACGGAUCCUUCGGGAUUAGUGGCAGACGGGUGAGUAACGCGUGGGAAGCUACCUUGUGGUAGGGGACAACAGUUGGAAACGACUGCUAAUACCCUAUGAGCCCUAUGGGGGAAAGAUUUAUCGCCAUGAGAUGUGCCCGCGUUAGAUUAGCUAGUUGGUAAGGUAAUGGCUUACCAAGGCGACGAUCUAUAGCUGGUCUGAGAGGAUGAUCAGCCACACUGGGACUGAGACACGGCCCAGACUCCUACGGGAGGCAGCAGUGGGGAAUAUUGGACAAUGGGGGCAACCCUGAUCCAGCCAUGCCGCGUGUGUGAUGACGGCCUUAGGGUUGUAAAGCACUUUCAGCAGUGAAGAUAAUGACAUUAA